rnacentral:rRNA from 1 species
UACGUAGGGUGCGAGCGUUGUCCGGAAUUAUUGGGCGUAAAGGGCUCGUAGGCGGUUUGUCACGUCGGGAGUGAAAUCUCAGGGCUCAACCCUGAAACUGCAUUCGAUACUGCGUGGCUAGAGUGCUGGAGAGGAGACUGGAAUUUACGGUGUAGCAGUGAAAUGCGUAGAUAUCGUAAGGAAGACCAGUGGCGAAGGCGAGUCUCUGGACAGCAACUGACGCUGAGGCACGAAGGCCAGGGGAGCAAACGGG